UACGUAGGGUGCAAGCGUUGUCCGGAAUUAUUGGGCGUAAAGAGUUCGUAGGCGGUUUGUCGCGUCCGUUGUGAAAGCUUGGGGCUCAACCCCGGGCCUGCAGCCGAUACGGGCAAGCUAGAAUUCGGUAGGGGAGACUGGAAUUCCUGGUGUAGCGGUGAAAUGCGCAGAUAUCAGGAGGAACACCGGUGGCGAAGGCGGGUCUCGUGGGCCGAAAUUGACGCUGAGGAGCGAAAGCGUGGGGAGCAAACAGG
rnacentral:rRNA from 1 species